UACGUAGGUGACCAGCGUUGUCCGGAUUUACUGGGCGUAAAGAGCGCGCAGGCGGUCGUUCAAGUCGAGUGUGAAAGCCCCCGGCUCAACUGGGGAGGGUCACUCGAUACUGAUCGACUUGAAGGCAGGAGAGGGAAGCGGAAUUCCCGGUGUAGUGGUGAAAUGCGUAGAGAUCGGGAGGAACAUCAGUUGCGAAGGCGGCUCUCUGGACCAGCACUGACACUGAGGCACGAAAGCGUGGGGAUCAAACAGG
rnacentral:rRNA from 1 species